ACAACAACAUUGGGACCGUCGGUCUACCGAGCAAUAUCACCCGCUCGGUGGAAGAUCUUCCCUUUGUUGUAUAUC
rnacentral:pre_miRNA from 1 species